rnacentral:lncRNA from 1 species
CACGUGUCGCCCUGUGAAUAUUUUUGGCUCCACAUGUAUCAGACGAAAAUCGCCUCCUAUUUUCGGUCAUUGAGUUUUCAUCCGACUUCAGGUGUUGCUUUGUUUUAGUAUAUACUUUUCGGCUGUUUGCGUGCAUGGAUGGGUAACCAGCUCAACAAACGUAAGUAGGAAUAUAAAACCAUAUAUAAUUGGGGGGUUUGAACCCGUUUCAUCAAGACUUCAGCUCAACAAGUAUUCGGCUUGCGUUUGUUUACAAGGGUUAGUUGACAAGGCAUAGUUGUAGAGCCCGUUUGAUCAAAACUGAGUACAGAAAGCAAGACACGUACAUAUACGUACGGGGAUGGGGAUAUGAACCCCGUUUGUGCUUACUUAUGUGCAUGUUUAUUUACAAGGCAUGGGGAUAUAAACCUCGUUUUUCCUUGCUUUUGUGCAUGUUUACAUGGUAUGGAGCUAUGAAGGAAUGAGAGAUUAGAAUGAAUAGGUAUGUGAAAGAUUGAGUAUCUGAUAUAUAUGUUCAAGUUCUAUCCAAAAGUCAAUAUAUUAGGGUUAAUCUCCAUUUAUUACUCUGAAGUUUUAUGAUUUUCAACAUUUCAUACAUCAAGUUUUUGUCGUCCAAGUCUAGUACCUAAAGUCAUAAUCUUAGACAAUUUCAUACAUCCGUUAAGUUUUCUGUUAGAGUGGCGCUCAUUUGGACAAUGACUGGAUGACAUAUGUCAAUAUGGCCCACAUGGAUAUUAAAAUAAUAAUAAUUAAAAUUAAAAAAAAAAUUUAAAUUUUAAAAUUAAAACUAAACCUAAACCUAAAACUAACCUCCCCGCACCUCUCCCCCUUUCUCUCUUCCACUCUCCUCUGUCUGUUAAAUUAAUGAGCAAGUGGCCAAGUGUCCAAAGAAAAAACUUUCGGUGAAUAUAAUAGUGAAAGACAAAAUGAUGAGAAGGAGACAUCAUGAUGAUGUUUUCUUCUUUUGUGGUUUUUUAAAAACCAUAAUUCAUUGUUUUGUUUCGGUAGAAGAGAAGAAAAGGAGAGCUCAAUUUUCAGAUGAGAGCAGAAGUGAGAAGAGUGAGCUGCCGAGAGCAGGAGAGUUGCAGAGAGCCCAAACAGAAAAAAAAGAAGCUGCUGCUUCAUUUGGUUAGUAAUCAUUCACCAAAGUAGUUGUUGUUGUAAUAGCUUUGAGCUAUAUGUAUAGAGAAGAAAUUAUUCAUUAUAUUUCUUUCUCUAUUUGUUUAUGUGGUGUGUGAGAGCUAUUGGGUGUAUUGGGUUAUUUGGGUUGUGAGAUUGCCAACAUUUUGUAAACUCCCAUUUGGUUGAUAGUGGAUUAUUGGGUGAACUCCUACUGCUCCGAGGACGUACUCCAGUUACACUGACUGUUGAGGAACCUCGUUAAAAUCUUGGUGUUCUUUUAUAUUUUGUUCUUGCAUUUUCAUUUGAUAAAUUUCCCGUGGGUUAGUUUGAGUUGGUUCCAAAACGGUUUGGUGCUAUC